rnacentral:rRNA from 1 species
UGACGGUACCUGAGGAAUCAGCAUCGGCUAACUCCGUGCCAGCAGCCGCGGUAAGACGGAGGAUGCAAGCGUUAUCCGGAAUUAUUGGGCGUAAAGCGUCCGCAGGUGGUUUUUCAAGUCUGCUGUCAAAGCUCAGAGCUUAACUCUGUAAAGGCAGUGGAAACUGUAAGUCUAGAGUAUGGUAGGGGUAGAGGGAAUUCCCGGUGUAGCGGUGAAA